GCCUGUCUGGGGCCGGCCGCCGAGUGAGUACUGGGGUGCGAGGCGUUUGUCGGAUUCACUGGGGGUAAAGGGUGCGUAGGUGGUUGGGUAAGUCGGAUGUGAAAUCUCCGGGCUCAUCUCGGAAAUGGCAGUGGGAACUACCCUGCUGGAGGGGCGGAGGGGGGACUGGAAUUCUCGGUGUAGCAGUGAAAUGCGUAGAUAUCGAGAGGAACACCAGUGGCGAAGGCGAGUCCCUGGACGACUCCUGACACUGAGGCACGAAAGCUAGGGGAGCAAACAGGAUUAGAUACCCGUGUAGUC
rnacentral:rRNA from 1 species